rnacentral:rRNA from 1 species
AUUGAACGCUGGCGGCAUGCUUUACACAUGCAAGUCGAACGGCAGCGCGGGCUUCGGCCUGGCGGCGAGUGGCGAACGGGUGAGUAUUGCAUCGGAACGUGCCCAGUAGUGGGGGAUAGCCCGGCGAAAGCCGGAUUAAUACCGCAUACGACCUGAGGGUGAAAGCGGGGGACCGAAAGGCCUCGCGCUAUUGGAGCGGCCGAUGUCGGAUUAGCUAGUUGGUGGGGUAAAGGCUUACCAAGGCGACGAUCCGUAGCUGGUCUGAGAGGACGACCAGCCAACUGGGACUGGGGACAGGGCCAGGCUUCCUAGGGAAGGAGGAGGUGGGAAUUUUGGACAAUGGGGGCAACCCUGGUCCAGCCAUGCCGCGUGCGGGAAGAAGGCCUUCGGGUUGUAAACCGCUUUUGUUCGGGAAGAAAUCCUCUGGGCUAAUACCCCGGGGGGAUGACGGUACCGGAAGAAUAAGCACCGGCUAACUACGUG